UACAGAGGGUGCGAGCGUUAAUCGGAAUUACUGGGCGUAAAGGGCGUGUAGGCGGUAUCAUAAGUCAGAUGUGAAAGACCUGGGCUUAACCUAGGAAGUGCAUUUGAUACUGUGAAACUAGAGAUCGAGAGAGGAAAGUGGAAUUACGAGUGUAGAGGUGAAAUUCGUAGAUAUUCGUAAGAACACCAGUGGCGAAGGCGCUUUCUGGCUCGAUACUGACGCUAAGGCGCGAAAGCGUGGGAGCAAACAGG
rnacentral:rRNA from 1 species